rnacentral:rRNA from 1 species
GGGCGACUGAACCGGGAAGAGCCCAGCGCAUAACCUCGUGUCGUUAACCCGGCACGAGGGGUGUUGCGUUUCGGAGGGUCCAGCACGCCGUGCCAUACCGUCUAAGUCAAGCUUGAAAGCGGCCACUACCCAUGGAGGGUGACAGGCCCGUGUGGCGGCGCCCGCGAGGGUAAAGAUGGCACGGUCGGAAAGGGCCUCUCCGUAGAGUCGGGUUGCUUAAUAGUGCAGCCCAAAGCAGGUGGUAAACUCCAUCUAAGGCUAAAUAUGACCACGAGACCGAUAGCGAACAAGUACCGUGAGGGAAAGUUGAAAAGAACUUUGAAGAGAGAGUUCAAGAGUACGUGAAACCGUUAAGAGCCAAACGGAUGGAACCUCGAAGGUCGAACUGAGGGGAUUCAGCUCGUCGGCAGUCGGCUGGGUGCGAGUCUUCGUUGAGUCGGUGUGACCCGAGUAAUCUCGGGCGCGCUCGCACCCACGCUGGCGCCGGCGGGCGCAUUUCGCCUCGUAGUAGGGCGCCGCGACCCGUUGCUAGGGACGUCUAUGGCCCCGGUGGAUUGGUAACCUACCUUCGACGAGUGCAGCCUCCUCCUGGUGCUGCUGCUGCUGCUGCUGCUUCUUCUUCUCCUCCUCCUCGGAGGCUGAGGCGGCGGCGGCGGCGGCGGCGGCGGCGACAUCAGCGUCGGCGGCUGCUUAGGCGCGAGGUAGGCGAAACCGCCGUUGGUGAUCCUGACUGCCCUGCGACGGUCGUAGAGACGAGUCCUUAUCCCCAUUCGUGGGGAGGGGGUUGCUCUCGCGGCGUGCAAAAAGAUCGGUGAUCCAUCCGACCCGUCUUGAAACACGGACCAAGGAGUCUAACAUGUGUGCGAGUCAGUGGGCUCACUAAACCCAAAGGCGUAAUGAAAGUGAAAACAUAAAACCGAGUCCGGCGCGCGCGUCUUUCAAUGGUGCGGGAGCCGGAAGCAUCUCGGAGGGCCGAUCCGUCGCCUCCUCCUUCUUCCGCCCCUCCACCGGCCUCUGCUGGUGGGGGGAUGUCUUUGGAGGAGAUUGCGUGGGCGCAGGCCCGGGACUUGCCAAGACGCCGCGAGGACCACACCGCCUUCUUCCGUCAGCGAGGUUGGAGAUGAUAUAGACGACGAUGAUUGAUGAUGACGCCGUCAUCCUCUCAAUAUAUCUCUCUCUCUCUCUCUCAGCCGAGCGGCGGUAGCGGGUGGGGGUGACGAUGAUGCGUGCAGUCGGCAAGUACCACGAGCAGACAUGUUGGUACCCGAAAGAUGGUGAACUAUGCCUGGCCAGGAUGAAGCCAGAGGAAACUCUGGUGGAGGUCCGUAGCGAUUCUGACGUGCAAAUCGAUCGUCUGAGCUGGGUAUAGGGGCGAAAGACUAAUCGAAUCAUCUAGUAGCUGGUUCCCUCUGAAGUUUCCCUCAGGAUAGCUGGAACUCGCAGGAUGAAUUUCGUCCGGUAAAGCGAAUGAUUAGAGGUGUUGGGGACGAAACGUCCUCAACCUAUUCUCAAACUUUAAAUGGGCGAGAUGCCGAGCUUUCUUGAACACUGGCUGAUGAAGCUCUGGCGAUGAUUAAUCUGAGUAUCUAGUGGGCCAUUUUUGGUAAGCAGAACUGGCGCUGUGGGAUGAACCAAACGUCGAGUUAAGGGGCCUAAAUGAAUGCUCAUUCAGAUCCCAUCGAAAGGCGUUGGUUGCUAUAGACAGCAGGACGGUGGCCAUGGAAGUCGGAAUCCGCUAAGGAGUGUGUAACAACUCACCUGCCGAAGCAACUAGCCCUUAAAAUGGUAUGGCGCUGAAGCAUUCUCCCGAUACUCGACCGCCGGGGCACUAGCGGCCACGCCCGAGAGGCGAGGUCUCGAAGCCCCGGUGAGUAAGAGGGUCGCAGUGGUGAGCGCUGAAGGGAUCCGGCGUGAGCCGGCCUGGAGCCGCCACUGGUGCAGAUCUUGGUGGUAGUAGCAAAUACUCGAGAGAGACUCCCUCGAAGACCGAUGUGGAGAAGGGUUCCAUGUGAACAUCAGUUGGACAUGGGUUAGUCGCUCCUAAGCCCAAGGCUAAGGCCUGAUCCCAUGCUAGCGGCAACGUUCGGCCAACGUGUAAGAAGCAUCAGCAUGAGGAGAAUAAUAAUAAGUAGAAGACUAGGGAGAAUGAUGCAGCACCGUUCGGUGUGCGGCUUAGGCGGCCUCCUCUGCCGCCCAAUGCCGCUUGCUUCCGUCCGUCGAGUGCAUCUCUCUCUCUCUCUGUAUAGCUUUUCUGCUGCUCUCAUGUGCUUCUCGUUGCCCGGGAUUAGUGGCGAAAGGGAAUACGGUACUUAUUCCGUAACCUGGACUCGGAUAAAAUAUAUAAAUGACCAGGCAGGCUCUCCUCCUCGCGGCCAGCACGCUAGCUAGCUAGCAAGCGACUUGCUCCCGAGAGGGAAAUUUCGCUACGGCUGCUGCUGCUGCUGCUGGUGCUGCAGGUGUGAUGCUGUUGCCCUGUGUUGAGGACCCCGGUGACGGGAACCAGCUCGCGCCCAUCGGCGGUGGUCCGGGAAAGAGUUUUCUUUUCUGUUUAAGGCGCCGUGACCCUAGAAACCAUCCGCAGGGAGAAAGGGGAUUGGUAACACGGUCAGCCGUAGAGCGCCGCGGUUCUUGCAGCGUCCCGCGUGCCACCGCCGGUCCGUGAAACCGCGAGGGAGGU